GCGGGUAUGGCGGAAUUGGCAGACGCGCUAGAUUCAUGUUCUAGUGGGGGCAACUUCUUGGAGGUUCAAGUCCUCUUACCCGCACCA
rnacentral:tRNA from 1 species